rnacentral:lncRNA from 1 species
CUAGAGUGUCUGAGGUGCACACUUGCGUAACAAAGCCACAGAGAAGCGGGACAAGAUUAUUACUGUAAAGGUCAGGGUUGUAGACAUGAGGGUACUUCUGGAGUGGCUGGCAAAGUACUACUUCUUCACCUGGAUGUGACCUUAUAUUAAGUCACUGUUCCAUAUAAUUUUUUUGUGUGCUUUUCUGUGCUUUAUUUUAUAAUAAGGAUAUAUUUAAGGGGAGUGUCCGGAGUGAACUGAAGCCAUGCAGGAGUGCCAUGCAGAUGUGGCCAGCUGGUCAGAAAGAAAGAUGAAGAGAGAACCGAGCACGCACCUAUAUUCCUGCAGCACUAAUGCUGACCAGUGGCCCAACGGAGAAGUGUUGCAAGCCAGACAAACCAGAGGACCACCAGUUCAUUCUCAAGGACACAAAGAACUGGUGAGGUGGGUGAAUGGUUCUUAAUUGGAAGUCAUCGGUGAGCUCUCAUCCACAGCUAUGAGGAAAAACAAGGGAAAAAAUGAGGCCAACACCAGCAAAGGGUAUAAACUGAAGGCUGUGUGGAGCACCAACUUUAUUAAAUACAGAUAUGGGAAUCGUCUAUUAAAAUGGUCUUUAAAAGUGUGUCUUUUGCAGUGCUAAGAUUAUUUGAUUGAUCUGUCGAGCCAUCAUUUUAUACACAUCUAUGGACGAUAUACUAGUGAAAACUGGGCUUUGGUUCUUUUCCAAAUGAAUAGCACUAUCUCCUGCUGUUAAGCUUUUCAUGAUUCUCGUAACCAUGGACUUUACAGAGGAAAAAAUAAACCUCUUUAAGUCUUGC